GUGCUGGUUUCAGCAGCACAUAUACAAAAAUUGGAACAAUGUAGAGAUUAGCAUGACUCCUGCACAAGGAUAACAUGAAAAUUCAUGAAGUGUUCCAUAUUUUG